CUGUCCUAGAGUACUCAGAUGGCCGCCUGUGGGGACUUGCCCGGGGGCUAAGGCUAGGCUCCUAAAAGCAGCAGGGGCUGCAACCUGGGUCCCUUUGUGGGGAGGAUUUAGGGAAAUGGUCUGUAGGUUGGGGGGCUGCUUGUCUGUGGCUGAGAUCCCACCCACCGGCCAGGAGCCAGAAGGACUUGAACUGACCAUCACCGGCGCCACAGGUAGAGUGGCCCAACUGCUCGUGCUCAAACUCUUCAGGGAUAGUCCUGCCUGUCCUUCACAGACCUGCCCUCCCAAGGACCCCUUCAGGAUACUCUGCUAUGGAUCAAGGAGCGGCACUUGCUCCCACCCUGGCUCCAGGAAGUUCCCCAAAGUGCUCUGGGCAGUACCUUUAGUCUGAACGGUUGCAGGUCUCCGGGGAGCUUGUGUGCAGGCCAGGUUGAUGUCACCCACCCAGGGUAUCACAGCCAGCAAAAGCCUGUGCUUAAGGAGCCUGCGAUGUAGAGCCUGUCUCUUGCGUCUCUGCUUAUUCUGAUGCUGUUUCUUCUGAGGGGAGGAAUAGGCUGCCUCAGGUCUCAGAUACCCAGGCAUAUAGGUAACAGAGAAACAGGACACCCUAUGGAGAAGUUCCUUAAGGAAGAACACCUCCAGGGACAGAGCACACUGGGGCUGAGGUAUGCUUUCCCUCUGUCCUUGGCCUCCUGAUAAGGACACGAGAGGGCCAGAACCUUUGCACUCCCUUCCCAUCCCACAAUCCCUCAUCUCGCCCAAGCACUCUUACAGGUUAUGGGGUUUUUGCUGAGCUCGAGGAAAGCAUACACACAGAAAGCAAACAAAUGUCUCACCCUGGCCAAGAUCUUCCACUUGCUCAGACACUGGGAGCCUGACCGAUGGGGCAAUUCAGAAGCGAUUCUUGCCCAGUGACCUGCAAAAACAGCCACAGUAGAUCAGCCUCUAGGACAGAGGCUAGGUCAUCAGGAGGGGCUUCCCUCAUGUGCUUGGUGAGAGGAUCUGUGUUUGCCAGCAUGCGAAUCUCAAGGCUGACCAGCCCCUGAGGAAGGUCUGGCACAUACAGGUAGGAAGGGAAAGUCACUACAGGCCCUGUGCAUCUGAUGCACUUAGGCUCUAAAGAGACCUUGCCAACUCUUUGUGCCUAGUGCUGCAGAGGGACACAUGCACAUUGCAGUUCUAGGGCAGUGUGACAACGGGUGGAAAACACUCUUAUGUUCUGAAGUCAUAUUAGUUUUUUUUCUGAGGAGGUAUCACCAAUAUCAGCAAGAUUUGGCCACAAACACUUAGCUCUCUCCUGACAUGUUGUAAAAAGUUGAGAAAUACAGCAAAUGCAAGUCACAAAAGGUCUGACUAAAGUCGGACACAGUUAUGCGUGCGAAUGUGGGCUUGCAUCUGCCUCCUGAGUGCCAGGAUUAAAGACCCUGCACCACUUCAUCUGGCUUCCCCAUGUUCUGUUGUGAAUAUCUAUUCAUUUGUAAUGAGAGCAUGAGGUUGGGGCUUGGAGGCAUGCUUGCCUAGCUGGAGUGAGGUCCUGGAUUCCAUCCCCAUGCCCACCCCUAAAAGAGAACAGCAUUUGCAACUGGGAAGGUUGAGAAUGAGGCAGAAACUGAUUUGAGGACAGCCUGGGAUCCGGAAGAUGGGCUGCAAGAAUUCGCAGUAUGAUCAGAGUCAGCAGCAGCAGGUAAUACUGUCCGACAGACAACUCACCAACACCAUAUUUCUCUAUUAGCUGGAUCAGCUGUUGUUCUUCUUUUGCAUUCCACCGUCCCUUUUUCAAGCUGAAAUGUAAUCUUCUGAUGUAGCUGGAAAUGUGUGGAAACAGAGGGACACUUUAGGUGCUAAGACCCCCUUCACUGCUCUCUGGCCUUCUCAGUGAUUUCUUAGGACAAUACCACAACAAGC
rnacentral:lncRNA from 1 species